UACGUAGGUGGCAAGCGUUGUCCGGAUUUACUGGGCGUAAAGAGCGCGCAGGCGGUCGGCCAAGUCGAGUGUGAAAGCCCCCGGCUCAACUGGGGAGGGUCAUUCGAUACUGGUCGACUCGAAGGCAGGAGAGGGAAGCGGAAUUCCCGGUGUAGUGGUGAAAUGCGUAGAUAUCGGGAGGAACACCAGUGGCGAGGGCGGCUUCCUGGCCUGUUCUUGACGCUGAGGCGCGAAAGCUAGGGGAGCAAACGGG
rnacentral:rRNA from 1 species